CGAAAGCCUGACGGAGCAAUACCGCGUGAGGGAGGAAGGCCUUUGGGUUGUAAACCUCUUUUCUCAGGGAAGAAGAUCUGACGGUACCUGAGGAAUAAGCAUCGGCUAACUCCGUGCCAGCAGCCGCGGUAAUACGGAGGAUGCAAGCGUUAUCCGGAAUUAUUGGGCGUAAAGCGUCCGCAGGUGGUUUUUCAAGUCUGCUGUCAAAGACCAGAGCUCAACUCUGGGCCGGCAGUGGAAACUGGGAAACUAGAGUUCGGUAGGGGUAGCGGGAAUUCCCAGUGUAGCGGUGAAAUGCGUAGAUAUUGGGAAGAACAUCGGUGGCGAAGGCGCGCUACUGGACCGAAACUGACACUCAGGGACGAAAGCUAGGGGAGCGAAAGGGAUUAGAUACCCCUGUAGUCCUAGCUGUAAACG
rnacentral:rRNA from 1 species